CGGGCCGGUCGCGCACGACGCCCAAGGAUUGAAUAACCGGGGGAAAUGACCUCUCCACACCUCCCCCUCCCCUCUCACCCGGUCGGGUGAAUCACCCCAAUCCGGGUGGCGCGCACCUCAAUUCGCCGGGCACGCUGUCCCCCGACAACCCCAUAAACGCAAUCGGCCCUCGUACGGGACUGGCAUCCCGAGCGAGGGCCUGAUCACAGAGAAGGCAAGCCCCUUCAC
rnacentral:ncRNA from 1 species